UAUGGGGGUCUGUGGAGCAGGGUAGAGGGAGAGAGGCUUUAGGCAAGUCGCUGGCUUCUCCAGCAUCUGCAGGCUGAUAGCUGUCCAAGGUGACAGCUAGGCCCUUCUCAGCAUGAAGGUAAUGUGCUUGGAGCUCGCAUGGGCGUUUCCUUUCUCGUAGUACAGAAUGAAUUUUGAUAGGGAAUCCACUGAUGUUUUGUAGCAUGGUAUAUCCUAUUCUCUUGUUCAAUUGUUCAGCAGAUAUUUCUAUAACUGUGUCCCCUGGUACUGAUUAUAAGGAGUGAUGAUUACAGAGAUGAGCAAGUAGAUACCAUCUUGCCUUGAAGAGCUUAUAUUCUACUGAGCAGCACACAUAAAAACAACUGACCUCACCAUGAUCUCAUCACAGCUAAGCAUUGGAGAAAGUGGCUCAUCAUGUCACACCCAUGGGCAAGGUCACAUUUCGAGUGGGAAUUUUUCUGUCUAUGGUGGAGAUUAAGGAGCCAUCCAUUCAUUCUCACACACCUACAAAACUCCUGGCCCUUCUCUGGUCAUUCCAUGGUCAGUAUCUACUGAGCUCCAUGAAGGACUCUGCACUGACUUCUACAUGGGGAACACACAAGGCAUGUCCCUGUACCCUGGAAGCCACAUAAAAAAUUUCUCCAAGGAGAGAGCCAGGAGGAACUUGGCCUCCAGG